AAAGGUAGGGGAGCAAACAGGAUUAGAUAACUUGGUAGUCCUAGCCCUAAACGAAGAUCGGUUGGAGUGAGGGGUACCCAAUCCCGCCGUGCCGAAGCUAACGCGUUAAGCGAUCCGCGUGGGGAGUACGGUCGCAAGGCUGAAAAUCAAAGGAAUUGACGGGGGCCCGCACAAGCGGUGGAGCAGGUGGUUUAAUUGGACGCAACGAGAAGAACCUUACCUGGGCUCGAAAUGUAGUGCACCGGGGUAGAAAUAUCCCUUCCCAGCAAUGGGCUGCUACAUAGGUGCUGCAUGGCUGUCGUCAGCUCGUGUCGUGAGAUGUUGGGUUAAGUCCCGCAACGAGCGCAACCCUUAUUACCAGUUGCCAUCAUUCAGUUGGGCACUCUGGUGAGACCGCCUCGGAUAACGGGGAGGAAGGGGGGGAAGACGUCAAGUCCUCAUGGCCUUUAUGUCCAGGGCUACAC
rnacentral:rRNA from 1 species